GGACUACCAGGGUAUCUAAUCCCGUUCGCUCCCCUGGCUUUCGCGCCUCAGCGUCAGAAAAGGGCCAGCACGUCGCUUUCGCCACCGGCGUUCCUUCCGAUAUCAACGCAUUUCACCGCUCCACCGGAAGUUCCACGUGCCCCUACCUCCCUCAAGACAACCAGUAUCCAAGGCCAUUCUCCGGUUAAGCCGAAGGCUUUCACCUCGGACUUGGCUGCCCGCCUACGCGCCCUUUAAGCCCAGUGAUUCCGAACAACGUUCGCACGGUUCGUCUUACCGCGGCUGCUGGCAC
rnacentral:rRNA from 1 species